rnacentral:rRNA from 1 species
GAUGAACGCUGGCGGCGUGCUUAACACAUGCAAGUCGAACGAAGCACUUUAUUUGAUUUCCUUCGGGACUGAUUAUUUUGUGACUGAGUGGCGGACGGGUGAGUAACGCGUGGGUAACCUGCCUUGUACAGGGGGAUAACAGUUGGAAUCGGCUGCUAAUACCGCAUAAGCGCACGGCAUCGCAUGAUGCAGUGUGAAAAACUCCGGUGGUAUAAGAUGGACCCGCGUUGGAUUAGCUAGUUGGUGAGGUAACGGCCCACCAAGGCGACGAUCCAUAGCCGACCUGAGAGGGUGACCGGCCACAUUGGGACUGAGACACGGCCCAAACUCCUACGGGAGGCAGCAGUGGGGAAUAUUGCACAAUGGGCGAAAGCCUGAUGCAGCGACGCCGCGUGAGCGAAGAAGUAUUUCGGUAUGUAAAGCUCUAUCAGCAGGGAAGAUAAUGACGGUACCUGACUAAGAAGCACCGGCUAAAUACGUG